rnacentral:rRNA from 1 species
AGGACGAACGCUGGCGGCGUGCUUAACACAUGCAAGUCGAGCGGAAAGGCCCUUCGGGGUACUCGAGCGGCGAACGGGUGAGUAACACGUGAGUAAUCUGCCCCUAGCUCUGGGAUAGCUCCGGGAAACCGGGAUUAAUACCAGAUACGACCACUUUUAGACAUCUGUUGUGGUGGAAAGAAUUUCGGCUAGGGAUGAGCUCGCGGCCUAUCAGCUUGUUGGUGAGGUAACGGCUCACCAAGGCGACG